rnacentral:rRNA from 1 species
CCAUGCAGUCGAACGGUAACAUAAAGAAGCUUGCUUCUUUGAUGACGAGUGGCGGACGGGUGAGUAAUGCUUGGGAAUCUAGCUUAUGGAGGGGGAUAACUACGGGAAACUGUAGCUAAUACCGCGUAGAAUCGAGAGAUGAAAGUGUGGGACCUUCGGGCCACAUGCCAUAAGAUGAGCCCAAGUGGGAUUAGGUAGUUGGUGAGGUAAAGGCUCACCAAGCCGACGAUCUCUAGCUGGUCUGAGAGGAUGACCAGCCACACUGGGACUGAGACACGGCCCAGACUCCUACGGGAGGCAGCAGUGGGGAAUAUUGCGCAAUGGGGGCAACCCUGACGCAGCCAUGCCGCGUGAAUGAAGAAGGCCUUCGGGUUGUAAAGUUCUUUCGGUAGCGAGGAAGGCAUUUAGUUUAAUAAACUAAGUGAUUGACGUUAACUACAGAAGAAGCACCGGCUAACUCCGUGCCAGCAGCCGCGGUAAUACGGAGGGUGCGAGCGUUAAUCGGAAUAACUGGGCGUAAAGGGCACGCAGGCGGUGACUUAAGUGAGAUGUGAAAGCCCCGGGCUUAACCUGGGAAUUGCAUUUCAUACUGGGUCGCUAGAGUACUUUAGGGAGGGGUAGAAUUCCACGUGUAGCGGUGAAAUGCGUAGAGAUGUGGAGGAAUACCGAAGGCGAAGGCAGCCCCUUGGGAAUGUACUGACGCUCAUGUGCGAAAGCGUGGGGAGCAAACAGGAUUAGAUAU